UUCUCGAUUUGGAUCAUGCCAUUUUGGCAGGCCGUACGCAGUCGUUUGUUUUAGUAACGUGUGGGGAAAAAAAGAUUCGCAAGACGUUGCAUUGUACACGUGGAUGAAGACAAGAGGAUUCCAGAAACCAUACAAGUUUUGUUGAAAUAAUUUUGAUGAACUCGUUCAGUGGACUUUUUAACGGUGGUACGCAGUUUUCACAGGUAUUGCUAGACGUGCAAACAAAGGAACUCCGGGCUGCCACAGGUUCGUUAAAACUAUAUUGUACUAUUUCAAGUCCGAAUUUGUAUAGAGCCAAGUACUCCAUACGUUUUCCCUCUUCGCAUUAGACAUUGAUAAAAAAACAACAACUCCUCCUCCUUGGACUGGGUAAUUAGCCUGACUCAUUCAGCCUUGUUAGCAACGUUGGCUAAAGUUAGCCACAGUUGUCAAUAACAAAAACAAGCGAGCUUUAGCACUUUCUGGAAGAAGAUGGCCGAAGGUUAUAUUCGAGUGGCGGAGGAAGAAAACGAGGAGCCCAUGGAGAUCCCAUCGGAGGAUGACGGCACCGUCCUGCUUUCAACGGUAGCGGCUCAGUUUCCCGGCGCGUGCGGCCUGCGGUUCCGGAGCCCCGUGUCUCAGUGCAUGAGGGGAGUGCGACUCGUGGAAGGGGUCCUUCACGCACCGGAGACCGGAUGGGGGAACGUCGUGUAUGUGGUCAACUAUCCAAAAGAUAACAAAAGGAAAAUGGAUGAAAUUGAUGCGUCUUCUGCUGUGAAGAUGAAAAGGGGGGACAUGAAGACAUCGGAUCUCAUCGUUCUGGGUCUUCCUUGGAAAACAACCGAACAGGAUUUGAAAGAUUAUUUCAGCACUUUUGGAGAAGUCAUCAUGGUUCAGGUUAAACGAGAUGCCAAGACGGGAAACUCUAAAGGAUUCGGUUUUGUGAGGUUCACAGAGUAUGAAGCUCAAGAGAAGGUCAUCUCCCAACGCCACAUGAUUGAUGGCCGAUGGUGCGACUGCAAGCUUCCUAACUCGAAGGUGAAUAUGCAAGGUCCAGAUGAGCCAUUAAGGAGCCGAAAGGUGUUUGUGGGCCGUUGCACAGAAGACAUGACCACAGAUGACCUGAGGCAGUUCUUUAUGCAGUAUGGGGAAGUCACGGAUGUCUUCAUACCUAAGCCUUUCCGUGCUUUUGCCUUUGUUACCUUUGCGGAUGAUCAGGUUGCCCAGUCCCUCUGUGGGGAAGACCUUAUAAUUAAAGGAGUCAGUGUUCACAUUUCAAAUGCUGAGCCCAAACAUGGCAAUAGGCAGUAUGACCGCACAGCACGGUUUGGAAAUGGCUUUGGAGCUCAGGCAUUCGGCAGCAGCCGGGGUGGUUUGGGGAGCAGCACUAACAGUAGUCUGGCCAACUUUGGUUCCUUCAGUCUAAAUCCUGCCAUGAUGGCUGCUGCCCAGGCCGCCCUGCAAAGUAGUUGGGGGAUGAUGGGCAUGCUGGCUAGUCAGCAGCAGACGUCCACCUCAGGCAGUUCCUCUAGUGGAACAGGCUCAAACAGGGACCAGAAUCAGUCUUUCAACACAGGCAAUAGCAACUACGGCACCGGCUCGGCUAGUCUGGGCUGGGGCACUGGUUCCAACUCCACAACCAGCGGUAGUGGGUUUAGUUCAGGUUUUGGGUCCAGCAUGGAGUCAAAAUCCUCUGGGUGGGGUAUGUAAGUUGUAUGUUUGUAUGGUAAGUAUUGCGAGAAGGAUACGUCUUUUGAAAAAUCUUUUCUGGUGUUGAAUAUUUGAAAAAGAUGUUUUGUACACUUGGGGGAAAAAAUGCUAACGAUUUAAUUUGGGAAGUGUUUAAGUGACUCGUUUACCAGAAUCUCUUGACUAAAGUGCGAUUUUGGAUGUCUUGUUUUUUUUUUUUCGUUUUUCUUUUUUGUAUCCAUUUCAACUGGAUUCUCUAAUGCAUGUAUUGUGAAAUGUGAUACCCAUUUUAAAAAAUGCAUGAAUGUCUGUGGUUCACCAUUAUCCAGCUUUGUCAUCGACUUAAAAGGCAAUCUUGCAUUGGAAAGAAUCUGGUUGAAACCUAAAUGUUUUAAGUGCAACUUUCUUUGCAGUCCAGUUCUGUGGAAAAGCCUUCAUUGAAAUCUCUUCUGCAGUUCACAUCUCUUCCAUUUUCCUGUGAGGAAGUUCCUCUUUGGCAGAAUUCUUGGGGUGAUAUCCAUAUCAUUCUGCCUCUUCCCACCUGUAAAUGCUAUGCCAACAAAGAACGGCUUCACUCCGCAUGUUCUGAGAGACGAUUUGGAGUCAGUUUUACUUGGAGUAAUCAUACCAGAUGAAGCUCGUCUCCCUGAAUCCAAUGCUGGUUGGGUGGAGCGAUAGGCCUCCCUCCACGCCUGCUGGCGCGGACAGACUGAAACGCAAUCCCUCCUGAAAGCGCAGGCGUUUACCAAGAGACGGAGUUGCAACACGGUGGCCAUGUUUCUGUACUUGCUUGUCUAUGUGGCGUAUCACAGCAGCAGAUGGUUACCGAGGACUCAGCGGUUCAAGUUUCAAAUAGUGAACGCUGUGUUCAUCCUGGUGGUCCUGAUCCCUCAGAUCUACAUCAUGGCAAGGCCAAAAUCCUCCAGAUACUGCAGCCAGCCUCUUCUGGUCAACCUGUCUGCCUCUGUGGUUUUGUCCUUCAUUGCUUCAGGAUUUUCUCUGCUCUUCACCCUGAUAGAUCCACUUCCUCAGAGUUUGUGGGCGUCAUUUCACGUGUUCGGUCUGCUGUCAUGUGGACACGGGCUUUGCACUUCCGUCCUGACUCUCACAGCAGCAGAAUGUGUCAAAAGCACUCCAGAGCUUUACUACAUGUCGGUGGCUCUGACAGUCGCCUCUGCCGUCAGCGCAGGCUUUCUGCUGCUGAGAGGAGGACUGUGGUUAAGCAACAUGCGGCCUGUGGCGCAGACAGGCUGAUAAACCCCUGCAGCUGUCCCCCACGCUGACAUCCAAUAGCCCGCAUUUCAACUAUUCAUGAGCUUUGUGGGCCCGCAGCAGCCGGUAACUCUAGACCACAAAGAAAACUGUAAAGAGGACUUCAUCCAUCUGCAAUUUGUUCUACAAAAGCACUUGUUCGGAUCCUUUUGGAGGUUGGCAGAGAGUUCCUGACAUGAGCUUGUAAAAGAAGACAGUGAACAUGAAGUUUACAAAGCUGACUAAACGUACUAAACUACAUCAUGUAGAAAAAAGAAAAAGAAAAAAUCAGAGGAUUCAUCUCAAGGCAAAAAUGAAUAGAUUUUGUCAAGACAACAAAAGCAAAAGAUGUUUUGCAUGGCUGAUAAUACA